GAUGAACGCUGGCGGCGUGCCUAAUACAUGCAAGUCGAGCGAACAGACGAGGAGCUUGCUCCUCUGACGUUAGCGGCGGACGGGUGAGUAACACGUGGAUAACCUACCUAUAAGACUGGGAUAACUUCGGGAAACCGGAGCUAAUACCGGAUAAUAUAUUGAACCGCAUGGUUCAAUAGUGAAACACGGUUUUGCUGUCACUUAUAGAUGGAUCCGCGCCGCAUUAGCUAGUUGGUAAGGUAACGGCUUACCAAGGCAACGAUGCGUAGCCGACCUGAGAGGGUGAUCGGCCACACUGGAACUGAGACACGGUCCAGACUCCUACGGGAGGCAGCAGUAGGGAAUCUUCCGCAAUGGGCGAAAGCCUGACGGAGCAACGCCGCGUGAGUGAUGAAGGUCUUCGGAUCGUAAAACUCUGUUAUUAGAGAAGAACAAAUGUGUAAGUAACUAUGCACGUCUUGACGGUACCUAAUCAGAAAGCCACGGCUAACUACGU
rnacentral:rRNA from 1 species